UGUGUUUUCCACUGGUCUUAGGUGACCCCUGUAAAAGGGUCGUUCAACCCCGAAGUGGUCGAGACCUACAGGUUGAGAAACACUGAAUUAAGGGAAUGAUUUUUGAACAAGAUCAGCGGGCAUGCUGAAGGACAUGCUAAAAGGCACGCCAUGCUUCCAGAAUUCAGGUUGAAGGCAGAGGAGGACAAACAGCAGGACCACGUGAUUGCUAUCAGGUCCCACCCCCACCGCUAACCCUAUUCCCGCCCAAUGCUCUUGGAAGAGGCCCUCUCCAGUCUCUGUAGGGGAUGGAAGGCCAAGAGGAGGCUCACCUGCCUCUGUACAAAGUCCAGGGGGCCCUGCCCACUCUGGCACUGGGCCCCACCCCCACCGCAGAGUUGGUGGGCACCGCCACAACCCAACCUGCCACAGCCUCUUGGAGAUGGUGACAAGAACCAAACCUUCCCCGACUCUCCCCUCCCCUUUCCUGCUUUUAUUAUUUUUCUUUUCCAUAAAGAUUAGCCUCUGCUGCUUCUCUAUCAAGGCCCAGAUAAACAUGUGGUCCCGAGGCUGAGAAACGCCAGGCCUGAAGGCCCCGCAACCCCCACCCUGCAGCAUAAACCCAGGGCUUUUAAGCAAGGAAUGGUUUUCAGCAAAUCUCCCACUAUCAGCAGAAACCUUUGAAAGAGUUUGUUUAAAGGCCAGAGAGACAAACAGCAAGGAGGAGUGUUUGUUUAAGAGGCAUGCUCUGUGUGGCCACUCCGGGGCCAGGAUUUACCAUCUGUGGGGAGGAGAGCCACUUGGAGGCUAGGGUGGGGGCCUCCCAGGGGCACCCUUGGACUACCGGGUGUGGACUCCCGCCCAGGCAGCAAGCUCUGAAGACAGGGAGACGGGCAACUCCUUACACACUUCCAAUGUGAAGACACCCCAUGAGUCUAGAUCAGGAGCAGCACAGGCCAUGUGACAAGUCCUCAGGUGGGACCAGGAAUCUCCUCUGCCAUCUUGGCUCUGCCUUUUGCUAACCAGGUUGGCCUCGAUCUUUCUGCACACCAAGGAUCAGAUCCCCUCCCCCACCAUGGACCAGCGGGACUGGAGAUGGACUUAAGAUGAACCUGGCUGGGUAAGUGAGAAACAGCUGAAGAACUCUUAAGCAUACCGACGCCCUCACAGGUGAGAUAAAAGUGCAGCACACCUGCCCAUCACCCACAGUCCACAAGAGAUACCACCUUCCCUCCAGUUCCCUCCACCCAAGGACCCAAGGAUGGCAGAAGAAAAAAAAAAUGAUCGCAACCUCCCAGGUCUAGCACUGGAGUUUCCCUUCUAUCCCAGGGAGACCCCGGCGAGAACUGGGGAGUCACUUCACCCACAACAAACAGUUAAAAGGAAGAAAGCGGGUCUGGCGAUAUCAAUGCACUUUGAUAACAAUAAACCCUGCUUUUAAUUUAUGCUAAUGUGUAGGGCUGUGGUGACAGUAAGAACUAAAUUACAGAGUGGCUUUCGAGCCGGUAAUUAUCCCUCCAUUUUUCACCGCUCUGGAAGAUGGACACACAAUUAUGCUCUCUUGCUGUAUAUUAAUACAGAUUCUUGACAUCUUCAGCAGACCCGGAGCUGUCAUCCAGCUUUUUGUCUCCUUUAAUUGAAAAUUAAUGGUUACUGGGUUGCCACGGAAACAGAGGCCACGGACGCCAAUGGCGCUCACGUCUCACUGAGGGACUGGCGGCAUAGGGAGUCCGGAAUGACCUUGAAAGUUAAAAGAAAAAAAAAAAACUUAAAAAAAAAAAAAGAAAGAAAAAGAAAGGGGAGAGGAGGGGAGAUGAGGACAGGAGGGUGGGCGGCUGUGGGUCAGAGCGGGGAGAGAAGAGAAGGCAAGAAUAGGGAGAGAGAAGAGAUGCACGAAAAAAAUUACAGAAAAAACACCCCAGAAUUGGGAAUACGACAAGCACUGGACAGAAAGAAAUCAAAUUAGCAAGUUUCGUUUCUCCAGUCUGCUUUAUUUUGCUGUUUUUGACUCUGGCUCUCUUCUACCCCAGGCCGGAGGCCGGUCUUGAACUUCUGACCUUCUUGCCUCCAGAGCCCUCCCAGUGGAUGCUGUUUUUAUAGGUGUAUGCCAUCAAGCCUGGCUUAGGGAGUCCUGGGGAUUGAACCCGGGGCUUUGUGCUUGCUAGGAAGCAUGCAAGCACUGAGCCACAUCCUCAACCGGAUUCCCUCCUCUUUACCCCAGGAGACCAUUGAAAGGCUGGAGACAGACUGACCUUCUCUUCCAAUCCUGGGAUCUAAUCUGCUAGAGCUUCCUGGAAGAGACAAAGUGUCUUAGGUGUGGUGGACCGCAGGGGGUGGAACAGUGGGUGAGGAGUGCUGGCAGGGGGUGGGGGGUGGGAAGCAUUACUCCAGGAGCCAAGUUGGGUGAUGCUGUUAAAAACAGGAUCAGAGAGAAUAUUGCUUCUUCAGGAGCCAGGAAGUCACACAACUGGGACCAGUGAAAGGGCCCUGUGGACUGGGGCCUCAGCUUUAAAAUUUAACAAAAGAACCAGAGAGAGAGUUAGGGAUGGAGGUCUGAGGAGGGAAGAGCCUAGGCUGGGAGGACAAGCCAGGUUUACCUCUGAAGACUAGACAUGGGGUGGACUGCUCAGGGAAUCUGGAGUCUAGUAGUUUUGAGGCUAGGAAUAUCUGUAAGAGAGGUUGCAGGCUCGGCACAGGGCCAGUGAAGACCCCUGAGUGUUCUAACAGGAAAGCCAGGCUCAUUGCUUGUCAGGCAGGGCAUCUGGUCCAGGACACUCAAUUCACUAGUUUCUAGUCGCCCACAGGGAACCGGGGCCAAGCUCAGCUGCCCAGUCCUGAGUAGGUCAGAGCUGGCCUGCUCCAGUGGGAAAUGGGAGCAGAUGGACACACAAGCAAACAACCACUGGACAAUCGGCCCCCUCAACAGUCUCUCUCUAAAGAUGCCCCUUGCCAUGGUGUUUAUCAUCAUUUUAAAAAAUCCAGAGACAAUCUGUAUAACCAACCACUAGAUGGAUGAGACGAUUCCUAGUAAACCAAAAGGUAGGAUCACUCUUCUUUUAAAAACAUUUUUAAAAUGUGUAUUUGUUUCUGUAUGUAUGAGUGUGUGCAGUGUGUACCCACA